AUAUAGCUUAGUGACAUAGCACAUGCCUGGCAAGUAUGAGGCCCUGGGUUCAAUUCCUGGUUU
rnacentral:tRNA from 1 species